rnacentral:rRNA from 1 species
ACGAACGCUGGCGGCGUGCUUAACACCUGCAAGUCGAACGGAAAGGCCCCUUUGGGGGUACUCGAGUGGCGAACGGGUGAGUAACACGUGAGUAACCUGCCCUUGACUUCGGGAUAACUUCAGGAAACUGGGGCUAAUACCGGAUAGGAAUCCUUGCUGCAUGGUGGGGGUUGGAAAGCUUCGGCGGUUUUGGAUGGACUCGCGGCUUAUCAGCUUGUUGGUGGGGUAGUGGCUUACCAAGGCUUUGACGGGUAGCCGGCCUGAGAGGGCGACCGGCCACAGUGGGACUGAGAUACGGCCCAGACUCCUACGGGAGGCAGCAGUGGGGAAUAUUGCACAAUGGGCGGAAGCCUGAUGCAGCAACGCCGCGUGCGGGAUGACGGCCUUCGGGUUGUAAACCGCUUUCAGCAGGGGCGAAGCUUGUGGUGACGGUACCUGCAGAAGAAGCACCGGCUAACUACGUG